GACGAACGCUGGCGGCGUGCUUAACACAUGCAAGUCGAACGAUGACGACCGAGCUUGCUCGGUCUGAUUAGUGGCGAACGGGUGAGUAACACGUGAGCAACCUGCCCUUCACUCUGGGAUAACCCCGGGAAAUCGGGGCUAAUACCGGAUAUGAGCUCCUGUCGCAUGGCGGGUGUUGGAAAGUUUUUCGGUGAAGGAUGGGCUCGCGGCCUAUCAGUUUGUUGGUGAGGUAGUGGCUCACCAAGGCGAUGACGGGUAGCCGGCCUGAGAGGGCGACCGGCCACACGGGGACUGAGACACGGCCCAGACUCCUACGGGAGGCAGCAGUGGGGAAUAUUGCACAAUGGGCGAAAGCCUGAUGCAGCGACGCCGCGUGAGGGAUGACGGCCUUCGGGUUGUAAACCUCUUUCAGCAGGGAAGAAGCGAAAGUGACGGUACCUGCAGAAGAAGCGCCGGCUAACUACGUG
rnacentral:rRNA from 1 species